rnacentral:lncRNA from 1 species
UUGGUUCUCCAUUACUGCCUACUUGAAAGGGGUCAUUGGCCAGCAGGAAGGGCCGAAUGUGGCCAGAGGCAGGGGACUGCGCAGAUGCACGAGAGAAACUAUGAACCUUGAAAGGGCGGAGGGUAGUGAGCUGCACCAAGGGGGCGAGAGGAGGGAGGAGGGAGAGAUGCCUCCUGGCCAGGUCUGGGCCCCAGUGGCCCAGGGCAAAGCGGAGGAGAGCGGGUAGGGAGAGGGAGAGGCCCCUCACUCACAGGGCCUGUGGGGCCGCCUGCAGCCCCGGGCCCUACUCUGCCAUGGGUGCCUUGGCCGCCCACGCUGACCAGACCCAGGGAACAAAGGGGCUGAGCCUAUCCAGCCUCAAGCCCAGCAGCCACCCUGGCGGUCUGGCUCUACUCGAAUUUGCCCAACCUCCCAGUGCCUUCUGCCACGCCUGCGCCGAGCCGAGGCCCGUGUCACUGCGCUCCCAUUUCAACAAACCCCUCUGGAUGCGCUUUCUUGUUGUGAGGGCUGCCAAGGCUUCUGCAGAAGGCCCCGCGUGUGACCCAGGACACUGCCCCUGCCCGUUGGGGGCUGAGUCCCCCCUGCUUCGCCACUGGCCAGUCUCUAACACGGAGAAGGGCUGGGCUGACGCUCUUUGGGUUCCAGGAGGUGAGGACAGGGUCUGAAGCCCUUUCCGCAGGUCCUUCUGGACUGGACCAAGGGCAGGGGUAAUGGGGCAGUCCACAGGUGCGGGUGUGGGAGGGCAGUCUGCCCACUGUCGUUUCUGGAUCUCAGCUGGAGGCCUUCUGCAGCCUGGCUGGGGCCACUGCCCAUGCACAGGGCACCUGCUCCAUGGGUCUGGGCUCUUCCCAUGUGCAUGUGUGUGCGUGAGACAGAGCAUGAGUUGUUUCUGUCCCUAGCAUGGCCACUGGCUGCCUGUGGCAGGUGCCCUGUCCCAUCCUGUACUCUGAUCUUUGGCAGGAAUGUGAUGAGGAGGGUCGAAGGCCCCUCUGCCAAUCACCUUCAGUGUGGCAUAAGGCCUGGGGGCAGCCAGGUCACUUGAGCCACUGAGGAGUCCAAGGGCCCCACACAGGGGGACCAGGGGCAGAUCUGAACUCAUGGGCAGCUCAGCCCUGGGAGUCUCAGGCUGGCUGCAACUGAGGGUCUUGGGGUCUUGGGUGGAGGGCCCUCUCUAAUUUUCAGUCUUCCUCUGGAGGCUGUGUGUCCCAGGAACUCUGGCCCCCAACAUGGUUGGCGCGGCCCUGGGAAGGUGGCACUGUCCUUGGGCACUGCCUCCACUGCAGCAGUCCAGAGGGUGCCGUGCCCAGCGCCCCUGGAAGGUCAGCUCCACCCUACUAGCUGCCAGGUCCGGCCACAGGGAGGGAAGUAGCCAGGCGAGCCGCCACCGAGGCCUGGGGCAGCCACAGGCAUACCGCGUCUUCCACCAGAUGCGUCUGUGGAACAUUAGAGCUUCAUUGCAGGAUGUGGUGUUAAAUAAAAGCAUUAGCGUUUGGAAUUAGGUUUUACUGAGCAGCGAAACUGGAGGGUGUGCAGGGAGAGGGCCCCGGCCUCCUCCCUGAUAAAUCAGCUCUGGUCUCUCCAGCUGCUGAAUUAAAAAUGAGCCUUCCCGGCACCUCCCGGCAGCCCAGGCCCCUCUCCCUGCAGGUGUCCAGUGUACUGCUUUCCUGGCCACUUUGGGAUCCAUGGGUGGAGUGUCCCGGGUGUGAGGUUCUGAGUGUUUCCACAGGGAGGGGACCCCACCAGCAUGGCACGUGGGUGCCCAGGACUUUCUUGCACAGGGCCUUUGCUUGGGAAGCACGGUGGGUAGGUUGGGUGGGGCACAGAUUUGCUGACUGUGCCCACCCAGCAGGGCUACCUGGGAGUGCCACCCCAGACAUGCUGAUAAGGUUGGGAACUCUAGGGGAGAAAGGAGCCUGGAGGUGCCGUGGGAGCCAGAGGGGACCUGGGUGGAAGGGGGUGGCUUGGGCCCCGCUCUGAGCUUGUCGGAACAGGGCUACGCCUCGCAGGGCUCCUGGGGCUCCGGGGACACAGUUGGAUGGCAGGCCUGAGCCCUGCCGGGAAGUGGUAGUAGCUCCAAGAGUCUUGGCUCCAAAGUGCAGGGGAC